rnacentral:rRNA from 1 species
GAGAACAACGUACAAACCUUAUCGAUAAACAAUUGGAGGGCAAGUCUGGUGCCAGCAGCCGCGGUAAUUCCAGCUCCAAUAGCGUAUAUUAACGUUGUUGCAGUUAAAAAGCUCGUAGUUGAAGUGAAGUGAACAAAGAAGAGAAGAAUCUUCGGAUUCGGAUCUAAUGCGUUGACUCUUUCCAAAGUCAAUGUAUGGGUAUUCAUUUAUCUAUAUAUUGUGUUUGGUCGUUUACUGUGAGAAAAUUAGAGUGUUCAAAGCAGACGUUUGUUUGAAUACAUUAGCAUGGAAUAAUCAUAUAAGGCUUUCAUGUGUAUUUGAUUGGUUUGGAUAUGAAAGCAAGGUUAAUAGGGACAGUUGGGGGUAUUCAUAUUCAAUAGUCAGAGGUGAAAUUCUCGGAUUUAUGGAAGAUGAAC